rnacentral:rRNA from 1 species
ACGGGUGAGUAACGCGUGGGAACGUACCUUUUGGUUCGGAACAACACAGGGAAACUUGUGCUAAUACCGGAUAAGCCCUUACGGGGAAAGAUUUAUCGCCGAAAGAUCGGCCCGCGUCUGAUUAGCUAGUUGGUAGGGUAAUGGCCUACCAAGGCGACGAUCAGUAGCUGGUCUGAGAGGAUGAUCAGCCACAUUGGGACUGAGACACGGCCCAAACUCCUACGGGAGGCAGCAGUGGGGAAUAUUGGACAAUGGGCGCAAGCCUGAUCCAGCCAUGCCGCGUGAGUGAUGAAGGCCCUAGGGUUGUAAAGCUCUUUUGUACGGGAAGAUAAUGACGGUACCGUAAGAAUAAGCCCCGGCUAACUUCGUGUCAGCAGCCGCGGUAAUACGAAGGGGGCUAGCGUUGCUCGGAAUCACUGGGCGUAAAGGGUGCGUAGGCGGGUUUUUAAGUCAGAGGUGAAAUCCUGGAGCUCAACUCCAGAACUGCCUUUGAUACUGAAAGUCUUGAGUAUGGGAGAGGUGAGUGGAACUGCGAGUGUAGAGGUGAAAUUCGUAGA